rnacentral:rRNA from 1 species
AAAACUUUCAACAACGGAUCUCUUGGUUCUCGCAACGAUGAAGAACGCAGCGAAAUGCGAUACGUAAUAUGAAUUGCAGGUUUUCGUGAAUCAUCGAAUCUUUGAACGCACAUUGCGCCUUUUGGUAUUCCAGAAGGCAUGCCUGUUUGAGCGUCAUUUCUUUCUC